rnacentral:rRNA from 1 species
AUUGAACGCUGGCGGCAUGCCUUACACAUGCAAGUCGAACGGUAACAGGUCUUCGGAUGCUGACGAGUGGCGAACGGGUGAGUAAUACAUCGGAACGUGCCUAGUAGUGGGGGAUAACUACUCGAAAGAGUAGCUAAUACCGCAUAAGAUCUACGGAUGAAAGCAGGGGACCUUCGGGCCUUGUGCUACUAGAGCGGCCGAUGGCAGAUUAGGUAGUUGGUGGGAUAAAAGCUUACCAAGCCGACGAUCUGUAGCUGGUCUGAGAGGACGACCAGCCACACUGGGACUGAGACACGGCCCAGACUCCUACGGGAGGCAGCAGUGGGGAAUUUUGGACAAUGGGCGAAAGCCUGAUCCAGCAAUGCCGCGUGCAGGAUGAAGGCCUUCGGGUUGUAAACUGCUUUUGUACGGAACGAAAAAGCUCCUUCUAAUACAGGGGGCCCAUGACGGUACCGUAAGAAUAAGCACCGGCUAACUACGUGCCAGCCGCCGCCGUAACAC